ensembl:lncRNA C1QTNF7-AS1 C1QTNF7 antisense RNA 1
UGCACUGUCAGCUUGUCCACUUUUGAGGUGUUGGCACUUGGACUGAUCCACCACUGGCUUCCUCGCUCCCCAGCUUGCAGACGGCCUAUUGUGGGACUUCACCUUGUGAUCAGAGGCCAGUUUGCUAUUCUUAGUUCCAGCGGAAGUGGAUCUGACGUGGGCGAUCAGCACCUUCCUUUACCAAUGGCUUAUGGAACUCACGUCCAGCACGAGAGUGGAUAUUUGCCCAACAAAACUCACAGUAAUACUGCAGAAUAUGUACAGACAAAAACAAGUAUGCUAAUGAAAUUUCUUCAAAUACUACAAACAAUUAGUGAAGACUGCUACUAUAGGCUGCUGCUGUAUUUUUAAGAGGCUCAACUUCAAAUACUUCAACCUUUUAUGGAAAGAUGGAAACACACAACAAACUAUGUAGAUCUUGAUACAAGUCUCCAUCAAGUUGAUUCAUUUUCAAAAGUAAAUUACAUCCUAAUCUCAAACCUGUGGCAAGACAAGUCAAAUCAUCAAAGAAUGGUAAAUCCAUCAAAACGCUAAUAA